rnacentral:rRNA from 1 species
GAUGAACGCUGGCGGCGUGCUUAACACAUGCAAGUCGAACGGGAAACAUUUUAUUGAAGCUUCGGCAGAUUUAGCUUGUUUCCAGUGGCGGACGGAUGAGUAAACGCGUGGGUAACCUGCCCUGUACACACGGAUAACAUACCGAAAGGUAUGCUAAUACGAGAUAAUAUGCUUUUUAUCGCAUGGUAGAAGUAUCAAAAGCUUUUUGCGGUACAGGAUGGACCCGCGUCUGAUUAGCUAGUUGGUAAGGUAACGGCUUACCAAGGCGACGAUCAGUAGCCGACCUGAGAGGGUGAUCGGCCACAUUGGAACUGAGACACGGUCCAAACUCCUACGGGAGGCAGCAGUGGGGAAUAUUGCACAAUGGGCGAAAAAGCCUGAAUGCAGCAACGCCGCGUGAGCGAUGAAAGGCCUUCGGGUCGU